GUUUAACCCGAACGCAAACGUCCGAAACCAAAGCCUAUCUGUUUACGUCCGAGUGUUCAUAAGACAGAAGUGGUUACAGAAAAUGGUGAUGUACUUUCUCUGUGGAUAAAGCACUUUAAACAUGGACUUUGCUGUGAAACAGGAGCCAUGUGAAGAUAUUAUCACCCG